rnacentral:rRNA from 1 species
CUACGUGCCAGCAGCCGCGGUAAUACGUAGGUGGCAAGCGUUGUCCGGAAUUAUUGGGCGUAAAGCGCGCGCAGGCGGAUUGGUCAGUCUGUCUUAAAAGUUCGGGGCUUAAUCCCGUGAUGGGAUGGAAACUGCCAAUCUAGAGUAUCGGAGAGGAAAGUGGAAUUCCUAGUGUAGCGGUGAAAUGCGUAGAUAUUAGGAAGAACACCAGUGGCGAAGGCGACUUUCUGGACGAAAACUGACGCUGAGGCGCGAAAGCCAGGGGAGCGAACGGGAUUAGAUACCCCGGUAGUCCUGGCCGUAAACGAUGGGUACUAGGUGUAGGAGGUAUCGACCCCUUCUGUGCCGGAGUUAACGCAAUAAGUACCCCGCCUGGGGAGUACGACCGCAAGGUUGAAACUCAAAGGAAUUGACGGGGGCCCGCACAAGCGGUGGAGUAUGUGGUUUAAUUCGACGCAACGCGAAGAACCUUACCAGGUCUUGACAU